rnacentral:misc_RNA from 1 species
UCCUCUUUACAGAGGCAGUUUGUUCCGAGUCCCCGGCAUUACCCGCUGGUAACAGAACAUGAGGGUUGCGCUCGUUGCGGGACUUAACCCAACAUUUCACAACACGAGCUGACGACAGCCAUGCACCACCUGUGCACCACCCUCGAAGGCGGCUCCUUUUGGGGAGCUUGCAGGUGCAUGUCAAGCCCUGGUAAGGUUCUUCGCGUUGCAUCGAAUUAAGCCAUAUGCUCCACCGCUUGUGCGGGCCCCCGCCAAUUCCUUUGAGUUUCAACCUUGCGGCCGUAGUUCCCAGGCGGUUCACUUAAUGCGUUAGCUGCGGCACCGAGGGAAACCCCCAACACCUAGUGAACAUCGUUUAUGGCCAAGACUAC